AUUAGCUUGUAUUGGUUGGAUGCGGUGGCUCACACUUACAAUCCAGCACUUUGAGAGGCCAAGGUGGAAGGAUUGUUUGAAUCCAGGAGUUCGAGACCAGCCUGAGCAACAUAGUGAGACCUCAUCUCUACAAAAAAAAAAAAAAAAACAAAAUUAGCUGGGCAUGGGGGUGCAUGUCUGUGGUCCCAGCUACUCAGGAGGCCGAGUGGGAUGAUCUCUUGAUCCUGGGAGAUUGAGGCUGCAAUGAGCUGAGACUGCACCACUGCACCCCUGCCUGGGCAACAGAACAAGACUCUGUCUCAGAAAAAAAAAAAAAGAUUAGCUCAUAUUUUCUAGUGUUUUACAUAAAUGGAAUCAUACGCCCGAGUGGCCAUGCUCCCAGGCUGUCCUUCCACAGCCACACAGCCCAUCAAGGCAUUCUGCUCAACGAAGACUUUUCCUUCCUCUGAAAGAGACUUUCCUGCUAAACAACUUUUUUCCUUACUACAAUCUGAUUGCAGUAAGCAAGGAUGGCAUAACAUAACCAUCCAAAUAAGUUGAAAACUUUUGCCCACACAAAAACCUGCACACUGAUUCAUAUUUGCCAACACUUGGAAGCAACCAAGAUGUCCUUCAACAGAUGAAUAGAUAAACAAAACGUGGCACAUCCAGACAAUGGAAUAUGAUACAGCAGGAAAAAGAAAUGAGCUCCGGACAUUCUGGAAAGGUAAAACUACAGAGAUCAUAAAAAGAUCAUCUCUUUGAAGUCUGGGUAUUUGGUAAAAACAAAUCAGUGGUUAACAGGGGCUUGGAUGGGGGAGGGAGGGAUGAAUAGGUGGUGCACAGAGGAUUUUUAGGGUAGUGAAAUGAUUCUGUUUGAGAGUGGAAUGGUGGAUACAUGGCAUUAUGCAUUUGUCAAGAUCCAUGGGACUGUAUAUCACAGAGCGAAUCCUAAUGUGAACUAUGGACUUUAGUUAAUAAAAGUGUUCCUGUAUUGGUGCGUCCGUUUUAGCAGGUACACCCCACUGAUGCCACAUGUUCCUAGUGCUGAGAAGAGACCCUGCUCAGGGUAUGCUCU
rnacentral:lncRNA from 10 species